GCGUUUUCACCCAUGGGACUGCAACUUCAUGUUAAAUGAUGGAAACGGUAGGAACACAAGCGAUCGACGCGAUCCAAGCGGCCUGGCCUUGAUACUACAUGAUUCUAUAUAUAUAUAUAUAUAUAUAUAUAUAUAUGGCUACUCUACAUUAAUUUUAAAGUCUUCGGCCCACACUUAGAAUUUUUAUUGAUAAAUAUUUUUAAACAUAUAAUAUAUAUAACAGACAUUAGGUGCAAUUAAAUAAGAGGUACAAAAAAAGAGUAAAUUAAUUAAUGUUACAUAGGAAUAUAUUUUUAUUUCACAAAAUAAUGACAAAUAUACAUUACUUAAUUUUUAUUUAUAACUAAACUUACAAUUAUAAGAUCUUCCAAACGUUUUAAUAAAUUCUCACUUAACAUAAUAGGCAAGAACAUAAACCAAUUAUGUAGCGUAUGUCAAAACAGAAUUUGUGCCUGAUCACUUUAAUCACUUUCCAACUUUCAAUAGUUGCAACUUGCCAUUCUGACCCUUUUUACCGUUGCCACAUAGUCACAGUCGUUCUCUUGGUUCUCUUCUUCUUAGGUUAAUCACGUGAUCACGUCCCACUCGCUAUACCUGCGCGCGCAUACAUUCAUCCCCGAUCCUGGGCUAUGUUCAGAUUCCCCACCCGGGUGCACCCAGACAUCAUUCUAUCUCUGUUUAACAUUCGGUAAACAACAAAGAUACAACGACAUCUAGAUGCACCCAGGUGGGGAAUCUGAACACAGCCCUGCCAGUGCCUGGCCCGGUUGUUUCCUGCUUUUAGAUACUGCCUGCACUCCCGUGUUUUCACCAUUCGCUGGUUGGCCGUGUACCAAUUAUAAAGUUAAUAGUCCGUUUGUUUUCUGUUCCUGAACUCCCUGAAUUAGUGUGCACUUAAAAUGAAAUAGAUAUAUAUUUGAAAGUUAGUGAAAGCAAGAAGGAACGUUUCAGUGUAGUCUAGUGCAGAAAUAGAAAACAAGCCUAGUGUUUAGCGUGAAAAAGUGUGGUUAGGAUUGCUGACGCAAUCCACCUAGAAUUUUAACAUCUCAUUAAGACCUUGCUUCCCGCAUUAAGACUUUGUAUCCAACAUUAAGACUUUGCAUCCCACAUUAAGAUUUUGCAUCCAAUAUUAAAGCGGGGUCUACAAUACACGUAGUAAGCGUAAAGGCAGGACUUUGAGUAAAAAAUAAAACGAAUUUAUUUGCUGACGCCCUUACUCCAGCUCCUUACACCGGCACUACGUAGCAUUACACCUACUUUUACUUCUUACACCAGGCUUACUCCGUGUAUUGUAGACCCCGCUUAAGACUGCAUCCAAUAUUAAAACUUUGCAUCUCGCAUAUAAAAGACAAAAUUUUACAACUGUGAUUAGUCCAAAUCUAAGGAGUCGCUAUUGCUACUCCACCAGUUACUCAUUCUGGCUGUAAUGGAGCUCCGCCUGGAGCCUAAGGCCAUUUAAUAUAGAAGGAUUCGCUGGUCGACCGUGUAUCAGUAAAGGUGAUUCCAAUAGAGUGAAAAAGCGCGAUUAGGAUUGCUGAUGCAAUCCACCCUGAAUUCGUGUAAUAACAUAGACUUUGCAUUGAAUGGAAACGCCCAAUUACCUGCGGCGAGUGCACACUCAGUGCGCACUAAUUCUCCCAAGGAAGAACGCUAUUAGUUUCAUGUGAAAAUGCGUCUAAUGAACCUAAUUUCAUCAAAAUUGGAGGUGGUGGGGAUAUUAACAUUUACCAAUUAUUUAUAGAUCGAAGCUUACUCUGCUACUCUCAAAUGCAGCAACCACAAUUCUCUGCCACUGCAGUAUUUGUCACAGCCUGCUCAAGUAGCAUGCAGGUUUCAACUACAAACAUUAGAUGUGGGUUCGACUCAUCACAUUUCUGUAUCGUAUGCAGAAGAUGGCCCACAAAACUUUUGUGUACAGAUUGAAGGGAAGCAAAGGGAAGAGUUAACUCGACUUGAGAACAAGAUAAAUAGGUGUCCAAAGCAACCACUGCAGAAACCAUUGCCAGGAUUGGUUUGCCUAGGACGCUACAAUGACGAAGGCUUCAAGGUGAUGCGUCGAGCGCUUAUCUUGUUUGUGAAGGAGCACCUAUGUAAAUUAUAUUACCUUGAUUAUGGCAAUAUGGGAGUUUUGCCAUACACGGACAUUUUCCAUUUACCACCUGAAUACAUGGAUCCUGAGGCAUUUGCUAUUAAGUUUGCAUUAAGCGGCUUAAAGGAACUGGUGAUCUCACCUGAAAUGAUAAAGUAUUUUAUGCUACUAGUGCACAGAAGAUUUACAGGACUUACUUUACAUGUCAAGUCAACGGACAGAAUAAUCUUACGUCAUUAUGGCGAUUUGUAUUUAAAUGGUUUGAAUGUUAAAGAUAUAUUAAAAGAAAGAUUUCAGGUAUCAUUCACGAUAAAUUUUGUAAAUUAUUCCUACUUGCAAUUACGACGAUCGACGGAAGAUUAUCAUAAAGUGCAUAUUUCUUAUGUAGAGUCAAGUAAAAAAUUCUUUGUGCAACUUGACAGUGGGAUAAAGCCUCUUGAGUCAAUAAUGGCCGACCUGGCGCAGUAUGCAAGAAACGCGCCUAGGUUAGAUAAAUUACAACUAAAAGCAGGAAUACCCUGUGCCGCUCUACAUGAUUCGCAAUGGUACCGUGCACAAAUCCUUGCCAUUGUUAAUGGCCAAAUUAAAGUAGUAUAUGUUGAUUAUGGAAACAAGGAGUUAUUAUCUGAAGUAUCUAUUUGCGCUAUUCGUGACGAUUUGAUAAUGAAAUUACCUGCUCAAGCUAUACAGUGUGCACUGAAUAACCAUGAAAGUCUUAUUGGAUCAGAAGUGGCUAAUCUUUUCGAAAGAUUGACAUUUGAGAAAAGUUUUAUCAUGAAAGUAGUCGCCACACAAUCCAAUCCUAUUAGUCAAUUUAUUCAAAUUUGACUUAAAGAGGAGCGUUUAUUCUCAGUCACUGAGUAACAUAGUCUGCGAUAAAACCAACAAUUCUACAAGCUCACAAAAUGAAGAAAUUCAGCUUGUAAAGCCAAAUGAAUUUCAAAGGAAAGAUAAGGAUAAAUAUAAAAAAAACAUGGAUUUUUGGAAUUGUAAUCAAAACACUAUGUUUAACCAAGACAAUAAACCAGAUUGGAGAGAUGAAUGGUCUUCAGAGAAACAAUACGACACUAG